ACAACAACAUUCGGACCGUCGGUCUACCGAGCAAUAUCACCCGCUCGGUGGAAUAUUUUCCCUUUGUCGUUCAGC
rnacentral:pre_miRNA from 1 species